GCCGAGGUGGUGAAACUGGUAGACGCAGUGGACUCAAAAUCCACCGCCCUCUGGGCAUGCGGGUUCGAGUCCCGCCCUCGGCAC
rnacentral:tRNA from 2 species